rnacentral:rRNA from 1 species
CGCAUGGUAGGAGAGCGUUCCGUAAGCCUGCGAAGGUGCCUUGUAAAGGGUGCUGGAGGUAUCGGAAGUGCGAAUGCUGACAUGAGUAGCGAUAAAGGGGGUGAAAGGCCCCCUCGCCGUAAGCCCAAGGUUUCCUACGCAACGUUCAUCGGCGUAGGGUGAGUCGGCCCCUAAGGCGAGGCAGAAAUGCGUAGCUGAUGGGAAGCAGGUCAAUAUUCCUGCACCGUCGUUAGAUGCGAUGGGGGGACGGAUCGCGGAAGGUUGUCCGGGUGUUGGAAGUCCCGGUCGCUGCAUUGGAGAAGGCGCUUAGGCAAAUCCGGGCGCAGGAUUCAAGGGUGUGGCGCGAGCGCUCUAGGGCGCGAAGCAAUUGGAAGUGGUUCCAAGAAAAGCCUCUAAGCUUCAGUCUAACGAUGACCGUACCGCAAACCGACACAGGUGGGCGAGAUGAGUAUUCUAAGGCGCUUGAGAGAACUCGGGAGAAGGAACUCGGCAAAUUGGUACCGUAACUUCGGGAUAAGGUACGCCCUUGUAGCUUGACCAGCCUGCGCUGGAAGGGUGAAGGGGUUGCAAUAAACUGGUGGCUGCGACUGUUUAAUAAAAACACAGCACUCUGCAAACACGAAAGUGGACGUAUAGGGUGUGACGCCUGCCCGGUGCCGGAAGAUUAAAUGAUGGGGUGCAAGCUCUUGAUUGAAGUCCCGGUAAACGGCGGCCGUAACUAUAACGGUCCUAAGGUAGCGAAAUUCCUUGUCGGGUAAGUUCCGACCUGCACGAAUGGCGUAACGAUGGCCACACUGUCUCCUCCCGAGACUCAGCGAAGUUGAAGUGUUUGUGAUGAUGCAAUCUACCCGCGGCUAGACGGAAAGACCCCAUGAACCUUUACUGUAGCUUUGCAUUGGACUUUGAACCGAUCUGUGUAGGAUAGGUGGGAGGCUAUGAAACCGGAACGCCAGUUUCGGUGGAGCCGUCCUUGAAAUACCACCCUGGUUUGUUUGAGGUUCUAACCUUGGCCCGUGAUCCGGGUCGGGGACAGUGCAUGGUAGGCAGUUUGACUGGGGCGGUCUCCUCCCAAAGCGUAACGGAGGAGUACGAAGGUACGCUAGGUACGGUCGGAAAUCGUGCUGAUAGUGCAAUGGCAUAAGCGUGCUUAACUGCGAGACCGACAAGUCGAGCAGGUGCGAAAGCAGGUCAUAGUGAUCCGGUGGUUCUGUAUGGAAGGGCCAUCGCUCAACGGAUAAAAGGUACUCUGGGGAUAACAGGCUGAUACCGCCCAAGAGUUCAUAUCGACGGCGGUGUUUGGCACCUCGAUGUCGGCUCAUCUCAUCCUGGGGCUGUAGCCGGUCCCAAGGGUAUGGCUGUUCGCCAUUUAAAGAGGUACGUGAGCUGGGUUUAAAACGUCGUGAGACAGUUUGGUCCCUAUCUGCCGUGGGCGUUGGAUAUUUGAAGGGGGCUGCUCCUAGUACGAGAGGACCGGAGUGGACGAACCUCUGGUGUACCGGUUGUGACGCCAGUCGCAUCGCCGGGUAGCUAUGUUCGGAAGAGAUAACCGCUGAAAGCAUCUAAGCGGGAAACUCGCCUUAAGAUGAGAUAUCCCUGGAGGCUUGACCUCCUUGAAGGGUCGUUCGAGACCAGGACGUUGAUAGGUCAGGUGUGUAAGCGCAGUAAUGCGUUCAGCUAACUGAUACUAAUUGCCCGUAAGGCUUGAUCCUAUAACA